rnacentral:sRNA from 1 species
AGGUCGGCUGUGGAACUCCAAGCUGGCUCGGGGGAUUAUUUCCAAACCAGCAGUCACAGGAACAUGCUGCUUUUAGAUUUGCUUUGUCGCAACUCACAGAGCCCCCGAAGCUGCUCCCCCAGAUUGAUAUUGUGAACAUCAGCGACAGCUUUGAGAUGACCUAUAGAUUCUGUUCCCAGUUCUCCAAAGGAGUCUAUGCCAUCUUUGGGUUUUAUGAACGUAGGACUGUCAACAUGCUGACCUCCUUUUGUGGGGCCCUCCACGUCUGCUUCAUUACGCCGAGCUUUCCCGUUGAUACAUCCAAUCAGUUUGUCCUUCAGCUGCGCCCUGAACUUCAGGAUGCCCUCAUCAGCAUCAUUGACCAUUACAAGUGGCAGAAAUUUGUCUACAUUUAUGAUGCCGACCGGGGCUUAUCCGUCCUGCAGAAAGUCCUGGACACAGCUGCCGAGAAGAACUGGCAGGUGACAGCAGUCAACAUUUUGACAACCACAGAGGAGGGAUACCGGAUGCUCUUUCAGGACCUGGAGAAGAAAAAGGAGCGGCUGGUGGUGGUGGACUGUGAAUCAGAACGCCUCAAUGCUAUCUU